UACGUAGGUGGCAAGCGUUGUCCGGAAUUAUUGGGCGUAAAGCGCGCGCAGGUGGUUUCUUAAGUCUGAUGUGAAAGCCCACGGCUCAACCGUGGAGGGUCAUUGGAAACUGGGGAACUUGAGUGCAGAAGAGGAAAGUGGAAUUCCAGGUGUAGCGGUGAAAUGCGUAGAUAUCUGGAGGAACACCGGUGGCGAAGGCGGCAUCCUGGACCAACACUGACGCUGAGUGAGCGAAAGCCAGGGGAGCAAACGGG
rnacentral:rRNA from 1 species